UCAUGGCAGUGGAAAGACUGCUGAGGAUCAUCAAAGAUAAGGGUGAGGGGGCCAUCACAGUCAUCUGCACAGAUGUAAAGUUUCCACUGUUUAAUCCAGCUGAACUUGAAUUCCUCACUGAAUAUGCUGCUGCUAUGAGCCCAGUCGCCAAGGAAACCAACAUCUCGCAAGCAGAAGCAAAUGCCCAGAAUUCCAACAAUCAACCUACUGAGCAUCAAGCUUGACCGAGCCUCCAGGCCUCUGGUGGAUGCUUUACUGGAAUGGAUUACAUCAAGCAGCACAUGGAUGGAUCCUCCCUGCAGCCAGCUGAUGCUAGGUCCAGUUCAUCUGAUGAAGAUGACUUCUUUCUCAUCCCGCAGCCAUCUCAAGCACAAGACAGCUCCAAACAACCGGACGGAUACUUGGCCUGUUCAGCAGAUCACACGGACUUGUUGAAAUCCUUCAAAACUGUGUGCAAGCUGUCUGUGAAGCUGAACACACCUUUACCUGCCUCUGCAGCCUGUAAAAUGCUAUUUAACAUUGCAUGACUAGUCUUCAGCCCAAGAAGAGCAAGACUGAAUUCUCGCAAUUUUGAAAACCAACUUCUGUUGAAGAUGAACAGGAAAUUUUUCAGUUUCAAGUACUGACUGGGUUUUACUGUAGGGAAGGAUAUGAGGAAGGACGGAGAGAGGGACAGAUGAAAGAAGGAAUGGGAGGGAAGGAAAAACAGGAUUUUGUUCUUUAAAUUCUUUACGAUGUAAAGACAUGUUUUCUGAAUGGACAUUUGAUUUGUGUUGACAUGUUAGAGCAAAUGAUCAGUCUCGCAGUUAUGCAAGCAUCCACAUGGUGCAGAUUCAGCAGCCAAAGAUAUUCAAUUAUAAUCACUGUGUUUGCUUUCCAUUUAAACAGAGAAUUUUGGAACACAACUGUUUACAAGUCAUUUAAAUUGUAAUUGUGACCAACAUCUUUACAUGGACAGUUUUGCCUGGAGUCCCCCCACAUUCAAAUUAAACAGUUCAUUUUUUUCAAAUUUGAAAUGGCUUUAUUUAUUUAUUUAUU